ACAAUUUUUCUUUCUUCUUUUCAUUAACUGUUUUGAAUUACUAGAAUCUAAUUGAAUUUGAAAUAAAAAUUUUGAUGUGCACGGGUGAGGCACGAACUCACAACCUUCAACUUGCCGGGCUGAUGCUCUAACCAAUUGAGCUACCGUGG